rnacentral:rRNA from 1 species
UACGUGAGGUGGCAAGCGUUGUCCGGAAUUUAUUGGGCGUAAAGCGCGCGCAGGCGGUCCUUUAAGUCUGAUGUGAAAGCCCACGGCUCAACCGUGGAGGUCAUUGGAAACUGGGGACUUGAGUGCAGUAAGAGGAAAGCGGAAUUCCGAGCGUGUAGCGGAUGAAUGCGUAGGAGAAUGUGGAGGAACACCAGUGGCGAAGGCGG